rnacentral:rRNA from 1 species
AAUUCGCCCUUAGAGUUUGAUCAUGGCUCAGAGUGAACGCUGGCGGCGUGCUUAACACAUGCAAGUCGAGGGGCAGCAGCACAUCUCUUCGGAGAUGUGGCUGGCGACCGGCGGACGGGUGCGUAACACGUAGCUACUUGCCCUCCAGAGGGGGAUAACCCGCCGAAAGGCGGGCUAAUACCGCAUACACCCGAGAGGGGAAAGGACUUCGGUCCGCUGGAGGAUAGGGCUGCGGCGUAUCAGGUAGUUGGUGGGGUAACGGCCUACCAAGCCGAUGACGCGUAGCUGGUCUGAGAGGAUGAUCAGCUACACUGGAACUGAGACACGGUCCAGACUCCUACGGGAGGCAGCAGUGGGGAAUCUUGGGCAAUGGGCGAAAGCCUGACCCAGCAACGCCGCGUGGAGGAAGAAGCCCUUCGGGGUGUAAACUCCUUUUGCAGGGGAAGAGCGAGACGGUAG